GAUGAACGCUGGCGGCGUGCUUAACACAUGCAAGUCGAACGGAAAGGCUCCUGCUUGCAGGGGUACUCGAGUGGCGAACGGGUGAGUAACACGUGGGUGAUCUGCCCUGCACUUCGGGAUAAGCCUGGGAAACUGGGUCUAAUACCGGAUAGGACGAUGGUUUGGAUGCCAUUGUGGAAAGUUUUUCGGUGUGGGAUGGGCUCGCGGCCUAUCGGCUUGUUGGUGGGGUAAUGGCCUACCAAGGCGUCGACGGGUAGCCGGCCUGAGAGGGUGUACGGCCACAUUGGGACUGAGAUACGGCCCAGACUCCUACGGGAGGCAGCGGUGGGGAAUAUUGCACAAUGGGCGCGAGCCUGAUGCAGCGACGCCGCGUGGGGGAUGACGGCCUUCGGGUUGUAAACUCCUUUCGCUAGGGACGAAGCGCAAGUGACGGUACCUGGAGAAGAAGCACCGGCUAACUACGUG
rnacentral:rRNA from 1 species